rnacentral:autocatalytically_spliced_intron from 1 species
CCUUAUUUUUCAAUAAGGACUAGACUAUAUCUUAAGCUUCAAAACUACUUGAAACCAAUUUUCAUAUAGUCGUUGAACAUACCUCAUGUCGAGGUUUAGUUGCGGAUUGCCCAUUUCUUGAUAUUUUACUUCAACAAAUACUUAUUUGCUGUUAGUUAUCAAAAAAUUUUAAACACAAUU